GACGAACCGUCCAAACGUUAUUCGGAAUUAUUGGGCUUAAAGGGUGCGUAGGCGGCGCUGUAAGUCAGGUGUGAAAUCCCACGGCUCAACCGUGGAACUGCGCUUGAUACUGCAGUGCUUGAGGGAGACAGAGGUAAGCGGAACUGAUGGUGGAGCGGUGAAAUGCGUUGAUAUCAUCAGGAACACCAGUGGCGAAAGCGGCUUACUGGGUCUCUUCUGACGCUGAGGCACGAAAGCUAGGGUAGCGAACGGGAUUAGAAACCCCCGUAGUCC
rnacentral:rRNA from 1 species